CUUCCUUUCCAGGGCGCGGCGAUUCGCGUUAUGGAAAUCUCCGUUCCGGAAAGGUGGUUGGGGUAAUCGCCAUCUUGCGGCUGGCAGGUGCCCGCGGUGCUUAGGAAGGAGGCGGACUGUGUUGGAAUCUGGAGGAUUUUUUUUCUGACAGAAGUCACUAUUUAGCCGUAGUUUCCUGGCAAAAAAGGGGUAUCUGCCCGUCGGUAAUCUCAAACUGGCGUCUCAACGUUUAAAAUGCCCAGCCUGAUGAGUUGCCUGAUAGCACCUUUUAAUCUCGGAUUAAAAGCACUUGUUGAAAUAGUUUGCCGCACUUCCGAUGUGCAUUCUGGUUAUCUUUCUGGAAAAUGUGAACCUCUUAAACUCUUAAAUGGGACCCUCAAUUCCUGACAAAUUCGCGAAGAAUGAUGAACUGUUAUUUAAUGCCCGCUAUUUGCUCCCAGUCCCAUAAUGAUAAAUCCAACUGAAUUCUUUCCAUAAAUAUGUUUCUUGUACACUCCACAGGUAAACUUGCCUCAACACUAUCGCUUAGAAACUGUUCAACGUGGAUGGCAAAUGUCAAAACUAAGAUACGAACUCAACUGUGACUACAAUACAAGAGUGGUCUUAACCACUUCGUUAUCUUGA